GGUUGAUCCUGCCAGUAGUCAUAUGCUUGUCUCAAAGAUUAAGCCAUGCAUGUCUAAGUAUAAGCAUUAUACAGUGAAACUGCGAAUGGCUCAUUAAAUCAGUUAUCGUUUAUUUGAUAGUACCUUACUACUUGGAUAACCGUGGUAAUUCUAGAGCUAAUACAUGCUACAGCCCCGACUCACGAAGGGGUGUAUUUAUUAGAUAAAAAAUCAACAUACUGAUGAUUCAUAAUAACUUGUCGAACCGCAUGGCUUCAUGCCGGCGGUGGUUCAUUCAAAUUUCUGCCCUAUC
rnacentral:rRNA from 1 species